rnacentral:lncRNA from 1 species
CUGUGAUUCUAAUUAUUUUUCUCCAUGUCCUUCAGGUGUAAGAAGACUUGGCGGAACGCAGCAGCAGCAGGUGGCACUCGUGACGAGGAAGUGCUCGCGUAGAGUCCCGCAUCCCGAUGCCCUGCCCUGGCUGCGCCGUUCUCCGCUGGGCCUCCUCCGUUCUGAAAAAAAAAGCCUGGAAGCAAAUGGAAUUGUGGGAAAACGACAGGCGUGCGUUCGGGACCUGCCGUGCUGCCUAGGCACUGGAUCUGAAAGCUUGACCAGUAUUUAUUGUUUUUGAACACACAAACCCUGAGGUGCGAACAUCAGCAGCAGAGCGAGGACCCCCCCCACCAACCCGCCACCACCCCCUACCCCGCCCCGCCUCCGUCACGCUGGGAUUCAGAGAGCGUGACCUCUGGGCCCACCCGCUUCAAACGGCCACUUGAAACGACAGCGCAACCACUGAGGCUUCUGAGCGGUGGCAACUCGACCCAAAACCCCUAUCAGGUAAGCCUGUGAAGUCCUCCUGGUUACCCCCGAACCCCCUGGCCCACCACCCAGCCCCUUUACCGCCCCCAGGGCUUUGAAGUUGCCGUGUCAGAGGCGGCGGUGGUAAACGGCCGGCCUUUUCAUGCUCCCCUCCUCCGUUUGUUCUCCGCGGAUUAGAA